GGGGGGGAGUGUCGCGCGAGGAGCAACUUUGAACUUUGCGCGGUCGCGAUCACUGGCGCGCGCGCGCGCGCUAUCUCGAAAGCCAUCACAGCGGGGCGGGCGGCUCGUAUACGCUUCUACGUGCUGCGCUCUCAAAGCGAAGUGACUAUGCGGAGAACAUGGCUCCCUGGAGCGGCCGUAUUUUCUUACACCAUCGUUUUAUAGUUACGCGAGAUCGGAUACAAAACAGUUAGCUGCCAGCCUUACUUCGUGUAACACUACAAUUUGUUGCUAUCGCAUUCAUUGCUUCGCCCUUGCGGUGAAACUGUGACUUUUUUUUUAUUAUUUGAGAAGUGUGAUGUUUUUUCUUUUCUUAUUUUCAAAUGUAAAGUGAACCUACCUGGAAAAAACUUUUUUUAUCUAUUUCAUAUGUUGUUACCAGGGUUAUAUAAAUUGCGUGGUUUGUAAAAAGGUAGUGUAGUUCAUACUUGGCAAUAAUCUGUUAAAAAAAGCUUUCUCCAAAAGCUCUUUGAAUGUUAUGUGUAUUCUAAGCCGAUUAAAAUAUGUGCUUGUUCCUCCAAGUUACUACAAAUUUGUUUUUUCAAGCUCCAAAAACGACCUAAUAAAUGCCGCUAACUGCUCCCAAACAAGGUUCUCCUGCUCCUAAAUUGAAAUUUUGCUGCUCCCAAAACUGCUCCCAAAUCGAUUUCAGCCGUCUCACCCCUGUACGUAGCAUGCAGCAUUUUGGGACGAUAAUUCAUCACUUUCUUCUGGGGUUUUAUCAGUGUUUAAAUUUCUUAGCACUUACCAUCACAUGCUGGCACUUUUGGUCAUAAUUGGCAGAUAUUAGGUUAGAAUCAAGUAAACAAGAUAUUUUGUGUACUGUGAUAUUAGUAGACAUUGCUGCGGACAUGUUUGCGAAAUUUUUGGCAUAAUUCAUGCACCCACUUUUUGAAGCCUUAAAAUAAUGAAAAACAAGGUUGUGAAUUACGUGACUAGAUAUGUUAUACUCCUUGUUUGUUUUUUUUUUUAAUUAAAAGUUCAGCACACUUUAUAUCUUUCAGACAAGUUGUACUGCUUAUGAGAAUGUGUUUUGGAAGGGUUAUCUGCUUGUUGGCCCCAUUUCACUAGGUCGCCCAGGUAUGGUCAGAAUUUGUCAGUGUACAUUUCCAAUGCAGUUUUGCCAUUGAGGACAUGAAUUCUUAUUGCACACACCAGGUUGUGAGGUUCUCUAGUCCUUUGUGAGGUUUCUAUUCACAUCCACACUGUUGAUAUAAUGAAGUUGUGUCUUUUAUUUAUGUGAGGCCAAAAAUAAUUGGCUCAAACAACUACACUUGAUUUUACUUUCAUGGAAGUGGGGAGUGUCGGUUAAAAACAUAGGGGCAAAUAGAGACCUCAUAAUAACGGAAUUGGUUAUAACAAACUAGUGGAUGCAAUGAAGUAGGUGUAACCCUUCUUUAAUUUUUCAAUUAGGUUUAUGCUCUUAAAUUUUUAAUGAAGUGAAAAAAAAAUUAUGGAAAUAACAAUGCUCUCUUAGCUUGGAAAUAUUUACUGCUCACUCAGCAACUAGGCCGAAACCUGGCCGUGAAGCAGCCGUGCUUCUUGUAAUUAUCUCAAUCAACACUUCAAAAUUCCAGCUAGCUAUCAGGUACCUGGCAACACUCCAAAUCAACCACAAGGCUGAGCCAGUGGUUACACAUGCACUCUGCCACUUCUGCCUUGCACAGCAUUUUCGGGAACUCUCAUGCACGAGGGUGCCGAGCCUCUAAUUCAGUGCAACACCCAUUGCCAGACACAAUUUUAAAGAAAUGCUUUCUUGCUUAUAAGUGUCUGCUUUUGUAUGGUGAAACUGUACAAAAUCCAGUGCUUGCAGUGCUUUUUAGCACGCUCAAGGAGUACUGUGAUACCUGUUAAGCAGCUACUUGAACGCACACAAUGAUGGGGACGAUAGAUUAACAUUGAAAAGUGUAUAGGAAGCAGUCAUUUUUCUUAUAAUUAAAAUGUGGCAGAUAACAAUCUUCUGCAAUCCUUUGGCAGUGUGCAGUACAUUUUUGCACCAGCUUACCAAAUGCUUACUAAAACCACAUCCUUACUUUCUUCUAGCAAUCGAUAUCAGCUGUGAUGGCAGACAAUCAUCAUAACAAUGUAAAGGAUAUAACAAAGUGCAGCUCCUCAUUCGGUUUAGUUAUAGCAAUGUUUUACUGAGGCUUUUGUUCUUAUUAUUUUACUCUCAAGGUAAAGAAUGCCAUGCAUAUACAAAAUAUUCAGUUUGACCUCAUAUUUUUAUCCUGUUAUAUAAUUGCUGCUAUACACUGUGUGUUGGCAUCAAAACCUUGCUACAUCAACUUUUUAACAUGUAAGUACCUAUGCCGUGUUAUUUGUAUAGCAGUAAAGGAAGUGCAGGUAGACUACAGACAUAACUAUUUAGCGCAAAAAACAAUGGACAAGGUGAAGCCUUCACCUUGUCUGUCGUUUUUUGCUGUAAUUAUGUCCGUAGUCAAUACGCACCAACUAGCCCAACUUGCUUCUCUAAGAAUGCGGGUAGACUAUUUGCAGAUGCAGCCAUAUGCAAAGCUUCAGUACACUUUACGAAUAAUGUAGACCAUUAAUUUGUCUCUGGACACUUCCUCGAAUAUAUGCCUCGUACUGUAUUCCAGGAUGUAACAUCUUUUCUUCAUUUGUCAAAGAUUUCACUGAUGACAUAAGUGUAAUUGAAUGGUGCAAGAAUCAAAGUGAUGUCUACUAUGGACAAUAUGAAAAACUAUUUAAGUUGACUCUUGUACAUGGGUGUGCACAAGAGUCAGCUUGUGAGACCUAACGGAAUAGUGCCAGAAGCCAAUUGACUAUUGAAUACUUUCCUAAUACUUUUUUAAUAUUGAACAGCCAUUCUUACAAUUCUUAUAAAUUAAUGUUCGCAUCCUAGCAUUCAGAAAUUUGCACAUGACUAUUCUGAGAGUACAAAUUAUCAUUGUAUGGCUGGUAAAGCCAGAGUACUUUAGUGAAGUAGCCCUUGCUGCACCACUUAAGAUUUCAUAUUUUAUGCCUAUAUUAUAGCCGCAGGGAUGAAAUGUGUCGUACUUUUGUCCCAUUUCAUGUUUAUCUCAUUGCAGUUGACAUUUCGAAAUGUCCGUAAACUAUACAAAAAAUACUUGUUUCUCAGUAGUGGCUAUUCUAUUCAAACACCUAAUCGUAUUGACUUUGAGUGAACAGAAGCAUGUAGUUUCUUUUAGUAGCUGCAUUUACAUGAAUACAAUACUGCCCCAUUGUACUACAUUUCCUGCACAUUGCACACAUGUAAAAUGCAGUAAUGCACUAGGAACUGAAUGCAGUGCUGACAUUGCUCUGCAUCGUAAAUUGUAACUGUGACAUUGACAGGAUGUUUAUUUAAAUAUUUUGUUUUUAAAGAAGGGUGGAGCGUUGGCCUAGUUGGUAAUUCAUUAAUCUUAUUGCAAGAGUGUAUGGUACGAUACAGCGAAACAGGAUAACAGUCCCAACAGAUGACUAAAGGCCCAAUAGGUCAAGGAUGGAUAUAGAAAUGCCCACUAUUCAUAAUGUGUGUCAGCAAUGGCUUGUGAGGCAAGGAAAAGCAUUUCUACUCUUGCAGAGCAUGCUUAUUAGUACUACUAUACUUUUCUUUGGUAAAUAAAAUGCUGAGAACAAUCUAAAAAAAAAUCGAUAGCCAGACACAUCUCUGCUUGUUUCUUGUAAAUAUGGUUUCUUUUCAAAUAUAAUGAAUGUCUGUCAAUGAGGAUAUGUGUAAACGGCUUUGUCACAUAAACAUUACAUGUGUGCAUGGUUCAUUUCGCUUGUUUAAAUAUGUAGGUCUCCAAAGAAAACCAUUGCUUGUGCUAAUCAUUUGUGAAAGUUGCAUGGAAAAUCCCACUCUUCUGGCUGCCAGACAGCAAAAGCCCCUAUUUUGCCACAGCUUUCCUCUUAAAAAAUAAUCCAAUUUUCACACAUACCCUUUCCCGCCAAUUUUUAGAAAAUAUAAAUUGACCACAAAAAAAAAAGGAAGAAUAAAUGACCCUAGUUGGGUAUGGGGGAUACCUGUAAUUUUAAUACAAAUAAAGGUCAAAAUUAAUUUUUUGUGUCAAAUGGGAUGCUUUUAUAUUCUAUCUGUUCCUUGACAAUAUGAAAAGAGAAUAGGUGUUGUUAUGAAACUUUAGCUGCACAGUAGAAGCAAGAAUGAGAACAGAUUUGUUAAAUUUUUACAGGUAAUGCAGAAAUAAGUUCACGUAGUAGUAAUUAUCAUGCUGAUGUUGCUUUAAUGACAUCUUGAAGAUUCAAUUCGCGAGAAGAUAUCGCAAGAAAGGCUUUUUAAUGGGAUAAUUCAGAAGUCCCAUAAAUGUGUGGUGAUCUUAAGUGCAUUACAUUUUUCUACAUCUAGAACAGCCUACUGUGUUCAAGCAGUCACAAUCAGGUGUCAACCGAUUAUAAAAACUUUUAUGCAAGCAUAUUUCCUUGAAAUGAAGCUUAGCAUCAUAUGGAGCAGCUGACAUAUUAUAAUGCUGUAGGUUGCCUAUUGCCACUUGUACUUGUAAGGUGCUGGAAGAUAGAUACUGCACAGGGAGUAGAACAUAUCUAAAUUGCUCUGGCAGUGCACAAAAAGGGAGCAUAAAAACCUGGCAUGAGGCAUUAAAUCUCAAAGAAUGAGAAACAUUGAUGAUGCGAUGCUCCACUCCCACUUUUGAAAUUACCAAUAAGAUGUUUUCUUUGUGUGCCUGAUUAAAGCCGUCAUGCUGCUCUGGUUCAAGCAGAUAUUGUUCUGUCGAAAGCUGCCAUUUGCGUGAAGUCACUUUCUUCCCAGGCUUCAAAUUGCUGGGUAAUUCUCAUUGGGCACUAAUUACCAGGCAAAUUUUCGCUGUGUAAUAUUUCUUUUGAGUCAACUGUUGAACCAAGUUGUUUGGGUUAUUAAAUUGUGAUUUAAUAGCUCAUUCAGAAAUAAGCCCAACUUCAUUGGCUUCCAUUCCCUAGGCUAUUUAAGAAAGCAGAACUAAGCAAGUUACCUAUUUUACAGUUGGCUUAAUUGAACCACAAUUAAGAUAAGCUAUGGAGCAAGUGACAGGUAACAUUGUAAUGCAAGAAAUGCAGGUAUAAACUUUAGCAUAGGGGAAUCAUGGGCUCAUGAAUACAAACUGAAGUGUCAGCAAGUCUUGUCUGUUGUCACUGGUUUUGAAGACUGUUCGGCUUUCAUGCUGCCUACAUGAAAGCUUAAGCACAGCUCAACAGGUGUAACAAAAAUUGCAGAUUGACUGUGCUGAAAUAUUUAGAAUGGUUAUAAAUUACCAUGCAUGCAUGUUUUUGAUAGAAAUUGAAAUCGUAGACAUUGAAGGGACAUGUCAGCGAACUCUAAAAACCAUCACACCUUUGAAAAUUAACGCAUUUGCUAGGAAAUUUUAUUUCUAUUUCUAGCUCAAAUAUAUGUAUACUUCAAUGCACUGGGUUUGCCAUGACAUUUUGAAAUGCCCUUGUGUACACCCUUUUUUGGUCAGAGUGUAUGUAAUUUAUAGACUGUUUAUAAAUUGCUGCGUAUACAUGUUUUUGAUAGACAUUGGAUGCAUAUACAUCGAAGGGACAUGUCAGUGAACUCUAAAAGGCAAAUUAUGAGCACAUAUUUGACUCAAACCAUGCAGUAAAACAUCAAGCUAUUGUAAGAAGCCCAUUGAAAAGGAGCGCAUUUGCUCGGAAAAAUUAUAUAUAUUUCUAAUUGAAUUAUAUUCUUCAAUGUGAUAGGUUUGUUGUAACAUUUUGAAAUGCCCUCAAAGACAGCUUUUUUAGGUGUGGCACUAGACGCAGUGUGGUGAAGUGGCCUUCCUUUAGUUACGUGAGAAAGGUUUGCAGUGCUUAUAGGGCACUCUUUGGAAAGACCCCAUCAGUUUUCUUUUUAGAUGGGAUGUUAAGGACCACUGAAUGACAUGCUGCCAUUAAUUUAGCUUUUACAAGUUUCAUGACAUUAAACUCAAACAAGAACAUGGCACAGAGGAUGAGUGGAAAGUUUCAAGUGCAGGUCCUCCACUCUCUUCCUUCUUAAACUUUCAGCAGUUAAUCUGCAGGAACUGUUCCAAUUGUCUAUAUUAUUAUUAUUCAGGCAUUUUGGGACAGAUUUAUCAGCUAAAAAGUGCUUUCCAGAUUUUGCAUUUGCAACUGCAAAAUUUUAUUUGUUGUAACAACAUAUAAGGUGCUCUCUUUGUCCAGCUGUUUUUCUCUUGAAAGGUGCCUACUUGAUGAAACAAAAUUAGUGUUGCCAAAAUGCUUUGCAGUAGUUUUUAUAAGCAUGUAACUGACAUUUUGUUGCACUUGUUUUUUCUUUUUUUUUUCUUUUUUUGCUAAGUAUGGUUGUGCUAUUAGUGAAAUUGCCAUUGUGAAUUUAAUGCCCAUACAUUUACAUCUGUUCUUAUGUACAUCUGUCUCACUUUCAGUUCUUAUCUCUUUCUUUCUUUUUUUUUAUGUUGCAAGGCAUUACGAAAGAACUCAAAGAAAAUGUCAUAUAUCAAAAACCAGUUGGAGUUAAUUAGCCAUGCAACUGCUAAACAUCAGAUGAAGUUAAGCAGCUUUAUAAAACUCUGCAUUGACAAAGUUUCAGUAGUGAUGCCAUCUUCUUAGCUGGCAACAUACUAACUUUUAUAGCUAUUUUUUUAAUCUGAUUUGCGUGCAGGGCUGUACGUACAUUGCAGAGAAAAAUGAUACGAAAGUAUGAAUUGCUUACAUUGAUUGGGUCACGCAAACUUUGUCUGCUUGCUAGUACCCCAGUAGUGCUUUGCUCAUUCUAGCGCUGUUGCAGAUAUUGUGUUAGUAAUGCAACCAUGACGUGCCACUGUUAGUGUGCUUAUAGAGUGGGGAAAAAAGCUGACCUUGGUGCAGCUUUGGAGUGAAUGCGUGGUAGCUGAAAGAAAUUGGUGCAGAACUGUGUGGAAAUGUGGUUGUUGUCAGUGGUGUAACGUUCAGUUCACAUGUGUGCCCACAGAAAAUUGGUGCAUGCAUGUGUGUGUGUGUGUGGAAAUGUGCAACUGAUGUGAAAUUGACUUAGGAACAAAAGACUGUUAGCCUUAUUUUUGUAUUACGAAAAUAGGCUCUGUUUAUGAGCAUGCUAGGCUGCACAAAGCAUAGAAAUGCCAUGAAUAAGAAAUAUUUUAAGUGUGGUGUGUGUGUGUGUGUUUUUUAGUAAGACAGAGGGAAAAAAAAGUUUUUUUCUCAGGCUGGCUAGCAGUACUUCGCAUUUAGCAAGCCUUGAAAUAAUUUUUUUUUGUAUUUGUAACUUUUUGCACAUACUUGCAAUAGAGAAACGGCUAUGGGCUUGAAUUUUACGUUGGUUGCACCAUUGAGUGAAGCCAAGCCAGGGUGUGGUACCUGUGUUCUUAGUUGUUCGAACACCUUAGAGUUUACUUGUGGGAAGUGUAAAGUAUGAGGUGCUUUGUGCCUGCAUUUUUUUCUAUUACUUAUAAUUGUGCAAAAGGAUGUCAUGCGUUUUGUGAGCUACUUUUGCUAGACACAUCGAAGUUGUGAUUUCAUGGCUUAACAAACGAGUAUAUGUUGCAAUUACAUCUUUUGUGAUUUUUUUGUAGUUGCAUUACUUUUAAACCUGAUUUUUAUAAACUUUAUAAUACUUUCAAACUUAUUUACUUGGUAAUAUCUUGCAAGUUUACUUAUAUGUCAGCUUUGAAUUCUCCCAUCAUGGAAUGAUCGGAAUGCUAAUUCAAUGCACAUUCAUUAAAUUGCCAGUGGAGUGAACUUUAUUGAAGUAGCAUUUAUUUUAUUAAGUAGUCCCAGUUGGCUGUUUUGAAAGUUGAACUUGUUUACUGUACACUUUCAUCUGGGUAUUUUAUUCUAAGAUGGUUCUAAAUGUACUUGUCAGUGGACCCAGGCUAGUCCCAUUGUACAUUGUUAGCUUGUAUAGGAACUGUGAGGACCACCAUAUUCAUCAACCUUGCAGUGUAUGGUUAACCUUCAUGACACUUCACAUGUGACAAGUGCAGGAACUGUAACUUUAACAGAGUGCAAGACAUCCUAUUAUUGUUCCCCACAGUUGCUCACUGACUGGGGUCUGCCAAGCUGUUGUUGAGAGCGUCCUCAUAGGAAACGCAACUUACUUUUGCCAUUUCUGUGCACUAUUGGCAAGGAAGAGACCAUGAACACGGAGCUAAUGAUAUCUCAACACACACAUCAUAGGACAGCAAAUUGCAGAUGGCAGAAUCCUAUUUCCAAGAACUAUGCUGCAAAACAAAAACAAAUAUCAUGAAAAGCAAGAAAAUGUGAGAAAUCUUCCAUUUUUGUGGCCAGUUCACGAAAAACGAAAAUAAAAAUGUGUAUGUAGAAAAAAACAUUCACAUUAAAAGAAAUCUGGAAUAUACAUUUCAACAAUAAAUA